GCAAAAUGUAAAGCUGUACCUCAUAUAGAACUUUUGGUCUUCCUUGAAUCUUGUGUAUGAGCAUUGUUGUUAUGUAUACUUGAACCACUUCUUGAUGAUGAGAAAGCGGGGUGGAGGUACCCAGAAGUAUCAAGAAAAGACCAUUAAGAAAAGCAGUGACGAUCACCCCUUUAUGCAGAAGAGUGGCUGCUUGAAGGAUGCUCAUACAACUCCUUAAAACUUCUUUGUUCUUGUACACCACAACCGGAGGAUUUUGAAAAAGGAGUUAAAAGAUUCCAUACCCAAGAGUCAAGACAACACAGAUGGAAU